AUGACAAGCUUGUCAUCCGGUCCGAUGUUAAUCCGGAAUCGGGAGAGGAUAGUGAAUUUGAACUACAUCUACAACCGCAAUGACACAGAGGCUCUGUGGAUGCUUCGAAUAAAAAGAGCACCUUUCACCAAGUUUGUGCAGACGUUCAGAAGCAGGGCACUGCUACAAGAUAGCAUACACACCACUGUGGAAGAACAAGUUAGCAUGUUCCUCCAUGUUGUAGGUCAUAACAGGUUCAGGGUUAUGCACAACACAUUCAGGAGAUCAGUGGAGACCAUUUCCAGGUACUUCAGACAAGUGUUGUAUGUUGUUGGGGAACUCAGAGGAGAGAUGAUCAGAUCACCAACCGGCCGGACUCCUAACAAGAUUCACACUAGCCCAAGAUGGUAUCCAUACUUCAAGGUGAGCACCGACAGUACGUAG
rnacentral:rRNA from 1 species